UUUAAAAAAGAAGAAAAAAGAGGCCAUAUGGGACAUAAAAGGGAUUGGUGUCAAGGAAACAGAAAAAGAGAAGAUAAAGGAAAUGCAUGGGAACCGUGCGGCGUCUUCAUAACUCUGAGGGAAACGACAGGCGUUAUGACCCCAAACAAGGACUGAGCUCGCCCCACAAUUCGGCUGUGACUUGUUAUUUGGUGGAAACUCUCUCUGCAAGUCCAAACAUGUGUGGUGUGGACACUGGAGUCUUUAUACGUAAGUUGUUGUUUGUGGUGUAAAUUAAAAAUUAAAUUAAAUUAAAUAUGUAUGCCCAUUGCCCCUCUUUUUCCUAUGAAACUGUCCGGAAGAACUUCAGAUAUAGUCAACCAGACCUUUCGGCCCAAGCAGCAGCCAUGAAAGGUGCAGCCCGGACCAGACAGAGAAGAAAAAGGCUGCUGGAAGCGAGGAGGGCUGUUUUAGCUCCAGAAGAGAUGGACUUCAGGAGGGGCACCACCGUGGACUUGAUGUCCGAUGAGGAGGAUGCCACAGCUGAUGGGGAAGCUGGGUGGCUAGUUCGGCCCUCAUCCUUCAGGAGCCGUAAACUGUCUGCCCUGUGUUCUCUUCUACAGAAGAGACUGGAGAAAGACCCCAGAUACUGUGCAACCCACCACAAAAGGCUACAUCAUGGGCCACCCUCUGAAAGCCCUGCUCCACCCUAUUAUGAUCCUGAAGCGGCCAAAAAACAUUUGAUUUUGAAUCAAUGAUUUGAUUUGAUUUGAUUUGUUUUAAUGUGUGCAAAGCGUGUGUGUGUG
ensembl:lncRNA